GGGGAAUAUUGCACAAUGGGGGAAACCCUGAUGCAGCAACGCCGCGUGAAGGAUGACGGUUUUCGGAUUGUAAACUUCUUUUCUUAGUGACGAAGACAGUGACGGUAGCUAAGGAAUAAGCAUCGGCUAACUACGUGCCAGCAGCCGCGGUAAUACGUAGGAUGCAAGCGUUAUCCGGAUUUACUGGGUGUAAAGGGAGCGCAGGCGGGACUGCAAGUUGGAUGUGAAAUACCGUGGCUUAACCACGGAACUGCAUCCAAAACUGUAGUUCUUGAGUGAAGUAGAGGCAAGCGGAAUUCCGAGUGUAGCGGUGAAAUGCGUAGAUAUUCGGAGGAACACCAGUGGCGAAGGCGGCUUGCUGGGCUUUAACUGACGCUGAGGCUCGAAAGUGUGGGGAGCAAACAGGAUUAGAUACCCUGGUAGUCCACACUGUAAACGAUGAUAGCUAGGUGUGGGGGGUCUGACCCCUUCCGUGCCGGAGUUAACGCAAUAAGCUAUCCACCUGGGGAGUACGACCGCAAGGUUGAAACUCAAAGGAAUUGACGGGGGCCCGCACAAGCAGUGGAUUAUGUGGUUUAAUUCGAAGCAACGCGAAGAACCUUACCAGGUCUUGACAUCCGACUAACGAGAUAGAGAUAUGUCAGGUGCCCUUCGGGGAAAGUCGAGACAGGUGGUGCAUGGUUGUCGUCAGCUCGUGUCGUGAGAUGUUGGGUUAAGUCCCGCAACGAGCGCAACCCCUGCCAUUAGUUGCUACGCAAGAGCACUCUAAUGGGACCGCUACCGACAAGGUGGAGGAAGGUGGGGACGACGUCAAAUCAUCAUGCCCCUUAUGACCUGGGCUACACACGUAAUACAAUGGCCGUUAACAGAGGGAAGCAAAGCGGUGACGCAGAGCAAAACCCUAAAAACGGUCCCAGUUCGGACUGUAGGCUGCAACCCGCCUACACGAAGUUGGAAUUGCUAGUAAUCGCGGAUCAGCAUGCCGCGGUGAAUACGUUCCCG
rnacentral:rRNA from 2 species